GUAGCUAUGUUCGGAAGGGAUAAGCGCUGAAAGCAUCUAAGCACGAAGCCCACCACAAGAUGAGGUUUCCCCUAUGGGUCGUUCAAGAUUAGGACGUCGAUAGGCGGCAGGUGUAAGCGCAGCAAUGUGCUCAGCCGAGCCGUACUAAUUACCCAUUAGACUUAUUCAC
rnacentral:rRNA from 1 species